rnacentral:rRNA from 1 species
CUAACAAGGAUUCCCCUAGUAACUGCGAGUGAAGCGGGAAAAGCUCAAAUUUAAAAUCUGGCGUCCUUUGGGCGUCCGAGUUGUAAUCUGGAGAAGCGUUUUCCGCGUUGGACCGUGUACAAGUCUCCUGGAACGGAGCGUCAUAGAGGGUGAGAAUCCCGUCCAUGACACGGACUACCAAUGCUUUGUGAUACGCUCUCGAAGAGUCGAGUUGUUUGGGAAUGCAGCUCAAAAUGGGUGGUAAAUUCCAUCUAAAGCUAAAUAUUGGCGAGAGACCGAUAGCGAACAAGUACCGUGAGGGAAAGAUGAAAAGCACUUUGGAAAGAGAGUUAACAGUACGUGAAAUUGUUGAAAGGGAAACGCUUGAAGUCAGUCGCGUCUUGCGGAACUCAGCCUUACUUCGGUUUGGUGUACUUUCUGUUUGACGGGUCAACAUCAAUUUUGAUCGGUAGAACAAGCUUGAAGGAAAUGUGGCAUUGUUUCGGCGACGUGUUAUAGUCUUCUUGCGUAUAUAUCGGUUGGGAUUGAGGACCGCAGCACGCCUUUAAUGGCCGGGGGUUCGCCCUACGUAUCGUGCUUAGGAUGUUGGCAUAAUGGCUUUAAGCGACCCGUCUUGAAACACGGACCAAGGAGUCUAACAUGCUUGCGAGUGUUCGGGUGGAAAACCCUUGCGCGUAAUGAAAGUGAAAGUUGGGAACCUCCGCAAGGGGGUGCACCGACGCCCGGCCCUGAAGUUCUCUGACGGUGCUGCGGUAGAGCACGUAUGUUGGGACCCGAAAGAUGGUGAACUAUGCCUGAAUAGGGCGAAGCCAGAGGAAACUCUGGUGGAGGCUCGUAGCGAUUCUGACGUGCAAAUCGAUCGUCAAAUUUGGG